rnacentral:rRNA from 1 species
AGGAUGAACGCUGGCGGUCCGCUUAACACAUGCAAGUCGAACGGAGUAGCAAUACUUAGUGGCGGACGGGUGAGUAACGCGUGAGAAUCUACCUUCAGGACGGAGACAACAGUUGGAAACGACUGCUAACCCCCGAUGUACCGAAAGGGCAAAUAUUUAUAGCCUGAAGAAGAGCUCGCGUCCGAUUAGCUAGUUGGAGAGGUAAAAGCUCACCAAGGCGACGAUCGGUAGCUGGUCUGAGGGGACGAUCAGCCACACUGGGACUGAGACACGGCCCAGACUCCUACGGGAGGCAGCAGUGGGGAAUUUUCCGCAAUGGGCGAAAGCCUGACGGAGCAAGACCGCGUGGGGGAAGAAGGCUCUUGGGUUGUAAACCCCUUUUCUCUGGGAAGAACGCAAUGACGGUACCAGAGGAAUCAGCAUCGGCUAACUCCGCGCUAGUAGCCGC